GCCUUCGUGGUAUAAAAGGUAGUACAUCCAGCUAGCAUCGGAAGAUCCAAAGUUCGAAUCCCGGCGAGGGCA
rnacentral:tRNA from 1 species